GAGCCCACUUUAAAGCAAUGGUUUGAUGUCUACAUUCUUGCAGCAAGCUAAUAAUCCCCAAGCAAGGAUGCUGAGUGUUCUAGAGGCCGGUUUUACUUCCACAUCUUUAGUCAGUGACUUCUUGAGAUACUAUGAUACAAUGUAUCCCAAAGGUAUCAGUCAAGCCAGGCAAAACUCUGGUAUUUAUCAAUGGUGUGGCCUUGGGAAAAUUAAACUCUCUGAGCCCAGGUUUCUUCUUUCAUAAAACAUGGGCAGGCACUAAGGCCUGACUCGCAGGGCUUUUACAAGCAUUUAAUUGGAGAAGCUAUAACUAAAACACCUGGGCGGACACUGGGCGACUGCUCUCUGCUUGUUAUGUUGACAUAAUGAAUCCUUCCCUCUAAUGGUCACCUCUGUGAAGGUUCAUCACCAAACAGUUCAAACCAGGUAUCCUCCAAAAGCCCCCUCACUAACCCCGCGCGUAGCCCAGAGCCUGUACCCAACAUACAUUUGCGCUGGGCCUGGCCUGGUGUGAAGUACACUAGGAUGCAGGAAUGACAAAGAGCUUCCUUGAGUUCUUACAAGGAUGCAAGUUUCCAUCUGUGCUGUGGAGGAAAACUUAAGGGUCUCUGCCCGUGAUUCCCAAACCAGCUGCUUCACCGGGGAUGCAUAGAAAUGCAAAUUCCUGGGCUCACCCCCAGACUACAGAGAACAACAACUGGAAUUGAGGGGCCAACCUGUGUUUCCAUGAGCACUAAAAGUGAUUCCGGUAUUGGCCCCUCAGUUAAGAACGCUCAGCCCCUGCCUCUCCUUUGAUCUGUUACAGGUGCCUCCCCACUCCCAUAUCCCCACCCCCACACCCCUACCACCCCAGGGCAUCUGCCGGCUACCCUCUCCCUCACUCAGUCUGUUCCCAACAGCCAGAGCCUGAUGCAUCCGUCAUUCACUGGCUUUCCCGACUGCCAAAGUGUCUCUGGCUCACCUGGAAUAAAAGGCAUAGUUCUCGCAAGGUGAGAAGGCAGGCCUCGAAAGUCCUACCUCUCUCUCCCUUCCCUUCUGACUGCACCUCCUACCCUUCAGCGACCAUGGCUCCCAUUACGGCUUUCUCUCUCUCUUCCAGCCUUAGGCACAAUCCUUCCUCAGGAAUGUCUGUCCCACUGACAUCCCUAUUCCUUCUUUUCCCACCUCCUUCACAUCUAUAUUCAUGCGUUAAUCUCUCAUCGCUUUUAUUGAACCCUCAGACCCCAGACUCUUCCCGUGGCACACAGAGGUCUCUGAGACUCUUCUCUCCCCUGCCAAGGUGUGGGUGGCACAUUUCCCACUAAGCCCCAGCCUCUAGAUGCUGGGAAGCUCUGACCUCCGCCUGAGGUUUCUUUGUCCCCAGGGAAAAUGAAGGCCACCGCCAUGACCACACUCUGCCCACCCACCGCCAACCUCCUUGGUUUUUCCUGGCACCGUGGAUGACCUUACUCUUCUCCAGAAGACGUAGUUAGGAAAAGUCAGGAAAUAACAUAACAUUUGGUGUUCACUCUUCUAGAUGCAGGCCAGCCUUAUGCUAGAGAUGCCACAGGAUGGGUACAUGAAAACACUGCAGGCUGGUCAGGGGCUGUGAGAUGGAGUGACGGGUGCUCUACGCAUGGCGCUGGCAUAGCCUCGGUGUCUCCAUUGUUCCUGCCUUAAGUUCCUGCCUCGAGUUCCUGGCUUGGCUUCCCUCCAGGCCAGACUGUAAUCUGCAAGCCAAAUAAACCCUUCUCUCCCCCAA